GAUGAAGAACGCAGCAAAAUGCGAUAAGUAAUGUGAAUUGCAGAAUUCAGUGAAUCAUCGAAUCUUUGAACGCACAUUGCGCCCGCUGGUAUUCCGGCGGGCAUGCCUGUUCGAGCGUCAUUUCAACCCUCAAGCCCCCGGGUUUGGUGUUGGGGAUCGGCUCUGCCCUUCUGGGCGGUGCCGCCCCCGAAAUACAUUGGCGGUCUCGCUGCAGCCUCCAUUGCGUAGUAGAUAACACCUCGCAACUGGAACGCGGCGCGGCCAUGCCGUAAAACCCCAACUUCUGAAUGUUGACCUCGGAUCAGGUAGGAAUACCCGCUGAACUUAAGCAUAUCAAUAAGCGGAGGA
rnacentral:misc_RNA from 1 species